CAGAGAAGCUACAUAAAACUCUGCAGUGUUGACAUCAUGUAUUCUCUUAUUUAUUUAAUUCAAAUUAUCCGAUUAAGACCUACCUCUUUUUAUUUACUUCUUCAAUUUGGAGGAGCCAAAGUUAAUAAGCUUUUAAUUUUGACAUUUGUAUGCCAGAAAUGCCUACUUUAACAAGAUGCUUGAACUGAGGGUGUGAAAGUUGAUUCCAGAGCUCAUUCAGUGUUGUGCAGAGUUGUAGUAGCAACCUUUCUCUGCUCAGGGUCUUUUUGCUAUGUAAGACAAUGACUCUUGGCCUCUUUGAGUUCAUAGACUCCAUUAAGGUGUUUUUCUAGGAAUGGGAGGGAUCUGUUAGUAUUCUCUGCUAUCCUCUUGCUUCCACUGACUGUAUUUGGGAGAUAUGAGGAGACUUGGAGAUGCCUUUUAAUCAUGUAGCUCUAACUUCAAAAUCUGUUAGGGACUUUCCAGUAAUAAGUAUCUCUUGAAAUGAAGCAAAUUAUAUGCAUCUUGCCUUGACAAUUAACAGAGUUAUAUGCAUCUUGCCUUGACAAUUAACAGAGUUAAUGUAUAUCGAAGGAUAAUUUAAAAAUUUCUUUCUUUUAGAAGGUUUUACUUAUAAAUAAAUUGAUGUUUUUGUUUUAAAACACAUUUAAAAUUAUACAUUCAAAUAAUUUAAUUUAUUUUAUUUAUAGUGUCUUCCUUCCUUCAUUCCUUCCUUCCUUCCUUCCUUCCUUCCGUACAGGGGAUUGAACUCAGGGGCACUCUACC
rnacentral:lncRNA from 1 species